AGCAAACAGGAUUAGAUACCCUGGAGUGCACGCCGUAAACGAUGAAUACUAGGUGUCGGGGUCCACAGGACUUCGGUGCCGCAGAAACGCAAUAAGUAUUCCACCUGGGGAGUACGUUCGCAAGAAUGAAACUCAAAGGAAUUGCGGGGACCCGCACAAGCGGUGGAGCAUGUGGUUUAAUUCGAAGCAACACGAAGAACCUUACAAGUCUUGACAUCCCUCUGACCGUCACUUAACCGUGACUUUCCUUCGGGACAGAGGAGAAGGUGGUGCAUGGUUGUCGUCAGCUCGUGUCGUGAGAUGUUGGGUUAAGUCCCGCAACGACGCAACCCCUAUCCUUAGUAGCCAGCGGAUUUUGCCGGGCACUCUGAGGAGACUGCCAGGAUAACCUGGAGGAAGGUGGGGAUGACGUCAAAUCAUCAUGCCCCUUAUGAUUUGGGCUACCACGUGCUACAAUGGCGUAAACAAAGGGAAGCGAACCUGCGAGGGCAAGCAAAUCUCAAAAUAACGUCCCAGUUCGGACUGCAGUCUGCAACUCGACUGCACGAAGCUGGAAUCGCUAGUAUCGCGGAUCAGAAUGCCGCGGUGAAUACGUUCCCGGGUCUUGUACUCACCGCCCGUAA
rnacentral:rRNA from 1 species